rnacentral:tRNA from 1 species
GGCCUGUUAGCUCAGUUGGUUAGAGCGUCGUGCUAAUAACGCGAAUGUCGUGGGUUCGACCCCCACAUAGGCCA